rnacentral:rRNA from 1 species
UACGUAGGGUGCGAGCGUUGUCCGGAAUUAUUGGGCGUAAAGGGCUCGUAGGCGGUCUGUCGCGUCGGUUGUGAAAACUCAGGGCUUAACCCUGAGCCUGCUUCCGAUACUGGCAGACUAGAGGUAUGCAGGGGAGAAUGGAAUUCCUGGUGUAGCGGUGAAAUGCGCAGAUAUCAGGAGGAACACCAGUGGCGAAGGCGGUUCUCUGGGCAUUACCUGACGCUGAGGAGCGAAAGUGUGGGGAGCGAACAGG